rnacentral:lncRNA from 1 species
CUUAGACUUCAUAUGAGUGACUCAGAGACUGUGUAAUACCUUCACCAAGUGGGUAAAGGAAAUCAUCAGUUCAACCCACUUCCUAACUACUAAGCAAAUUCUCUUGCCACUGAAAUUCCAGAAAUGCCUUCCGCACAGCACCAGAAGUUAGCUGGAGAGGUUAAACAGACAGAAUGAAAGUGUCCCUGACCAGUCAGGCCAGCUGUGCUUGGCCUGACUUGGCAGAAGUCACUUCAACUACUGCUGUUGCUUAGUGGGCAGAAGAGGACGAGGGCAAACAAAACCAAGGGGUCUGUGUUGACGUCAAUUGCCCACUGAAGGCCAUGCAGAUGUCCAUGGUCCGGGCUGCUGCCAGAUCUAUGCUGCCACUGAGAGCCAUGUCCAGGUCCACGAUCCUACACAGCUGAGUCUGUGUAGAUGCUGGUGGCCCAUGUUAUCAUCAAAGGCUUUAUGGAUAUCCGUGGUCUGGGCUGCCACCUGAAGCCAUUUGUUACAUAAGAACCUUGCUGCCAAAGGGGACCAUAUUAAUGUGAGUGGAUUGCAUGACUUCCUGAGGCCAUGGUGAUGUAUGGAUCCAUGCUGUUGCCUAGAGUCAUGUCCAGAACCAAGGUCCUACUGCCACUGGGGGCUGUGUGAUCUAUGCUGUCACUAGAAAACAUGUGGAAGCCCAUGACCAUACUGCUGCUGACUGUGAAGAGCUACUUUUGCAGUGAUGUCGAUCAAUGACUGCAGAUGCACAGUUGAGAGAGAGGACAUCCAAAGCUUCUGUGAUAGUCCCUUCCCCCAGCCUCCACUAAAGGAAAAGUUACAGCCUAGAUGGGAAGCCAUCAAGAAGAACUCUUAAAAGCUCUCCUGAAGGGGAUAUCCUUCCUCUCCUGACUCACCACGGGACAACGAUUAGUGCUGCUCUAAGACCUCAUAAGGUGUUGCUUUGUGCAGUGGAUGUUGGUUAACAUGGAAGCUCACAACUGGUCAAAGUACAGAGGAUGAGUGUCAACAGAGUGCUUGGCCACUAAUAGGACAUCUGUAUUAAGUCCUUCCUGUCAAGGCCCAGAGACUAUCACAGAAGAGGGAAAAGAAAGAUUACAACAGUCAGUGGUCAGGAAGGACCAGAGCAAAGCAAUAUCUUCUGGACAUGACAGGAACACUGCAAUUAUAAACUCACAGCAGCUUCGGUGGUCUGCACAAAGUCAAGACUGUCAACAUUCAAGCAUGGAGUAAGGAGGG